CCUGCUUCUUCAGCCCGCCCAGUUCCGGGUCGUUGUCUUUGCCGCUGGCAUCUGAGCACAGAUUUGGCGUCUCUACCGCGGUCGAGCCGAUCGUUCGGGACUGUUUACCACUGCCGACCAGAGCAUUGUCUGCUGGGUGCGUGCUGCAUGGUGGCUGUCUGCCCUGCUACGUUUGGUUUCUUCACCCCUCUCCCUCUUUGGAAGGGAUGCCAAUGCUCCCGGACUUAUAACUGGAACGCUAACGCUGAAGCUAACGCUAAGUGCGUGCACAGCUGAUUAAUCACGGCUACUGGGCCGCUGCUACCUGGCUAUGGCCGCCGGUGGUCAGCCUGUUU